GGUUUGGAUUCACUUUGUGCGCCGUUCCUCUACUUGAAUUUCAAUAACGAAGCGCUGGCAUAUGCCUGCAUGUCCGCCUUCAUCCCAAAGUACUUGUACAACUUCUUCCUGAAGGACAACUCUCAUGUCAUUCAAGAGUACUUGACCGUCUUCUCCCAAAUGAUCGCCUUCCACGACCCUGAGCUAAGCAACCAUCUAAAUGAGAUUGGCUUCAUCCCAGAUCUUUAUGCCAUUCCAUGGUUCCUGACCAUGUUUACACGUAAGUCGUUUUUC